rnacentral:rRNA from 1 species
AUUGAACGCUGGCGGCAGGCCUAACACAUGCAAGUCGAACGAGGGGCGGACGGGUGAGUAAUGUCUGGGAAACUGCCUGCUGGAGGGGGAUAACUACUGGAAACGGUCGAUAAUACCGCAUACCAUCGGAUGUGCCCAUAUGGGAUUAGCUCGUAGGUGGGGUAAUGGCUCACCUAGGCGACGAUCCCUAGCUGGGCUGAGAGGAUGACCAGCAAAACUGGAACUGAGACACGGUCCAGACUACUACGGGAGGCAGCAGUGGGGAAUAUUGCACAAUGGGCGCAAGCCUGAUGCAGCCAUGCCGCGUGUAUGAAGAAGGCCGUCGGGCUGUAAAGUACUUUCAGCGGGGAGGCGUUACCCGCAGAAGAAGCACCGGCUAACUCCGUGCCAGCCGCCGCGGUAAUUC